GCCCACAUAGCUUAACCAUAAAGCAUGGCACUGAAGAUGCCAAGAUGGCACUAAUCCACCUGCGGGCA
rnacentral:tRNA from 1 species